rnacentral:rRNA from 1 species
GUGGGGAAUAUUGGACAAUGGGCGAAAGCCUGAUCCAGCCAUGCCGCGUGUGUGAAGAAGGUCUUCGGAUUGUAAAGCACUUUAAGUUGGGAGGAAGGGCAGUAAGUUAAUACCUUGCUGUUUUGACGUUACCGACAGAAUAAGCACCGGCUAACUUCGUGCCAGCAGCCGCGGUAAUACGAAGGGUGCAAGCGUUAAUCGGAAUUACUGGGCGUAAAGCGCGCGUAGGUGGUUUUGUAAGUUGGAGGUGAAAUCCCCGGGCUCAACCUGGCAACUGCCUCCAAAACUGCAUGACUAGAGUACGGUAGAGGGUAGUGGAAUUUCCUGUGUAGCGGUGAAAUGCGUAGAUAUAGGAAGGAACACCAGUGGCGAAGGCGACUACCUGGACUGAUACUGACACUGAGGUGCGAAAGCGUGGGGAGCAAACAGGAUUAGAUACCCGGGUAGUCC